AUGGGAGGCAAGAAGUCAUCUUCAUUCUCAUUUUGUGGAAUGUUCAAAUCAUGUUUCUCAAGUGAAAGCAAAAAUGAUUACUAUUAUGAAGGGAGUAGCAGCAGGAUGUUUACAAGUGAUGAAGACAGAGGUCGUUGGGUUGCUGAGCCUGGUAUUGACAGGAAAGCAUCUGCUUUCAUUGCUAGAUUCUAUGCAAACCGAGUCACUGAUUCUGAACAACAAAUUGCUUCUUGA